UGAUGUGUAGGAUAGGUGGGAGGCUUAGAAGUGUGGACGCCAGUCUGCAUGGAGCCGACCUUGAAAUACCACCCUUUAAUGUUUGAUGUUCUAACGUUGACCCGUAAUCCGGGUUGCGGACAGUGUCUGGUGGGUAGUUUGACUGGGGCGGUCUCCUCCUAAAGAGUAACGGAGGAGCACGAAGGUUGGCUAAUCCUGGUCGGACAUCAGGAGGUUAGUGCAAUGGCAUAAGCCAGCUUGACUGCGAGCGUGACGGCGCGAGCAGGUGCGAAAGCAGGUCAUAGUGAUCCGGUGGUUCUGAAUGGAAGGGCCAUCGCUCAACGGAUAAAAGGUACUCCGGGGAUAACAGGCUGAUACCGCCCAAGAGUUCAUAUCGACGGCGGUGUUUGGCACCUCGAUGUCGGCUCAUCACAUCCUGGGGCUGAAGUAGGUCCCAAGGGUAUGGCUGUUCGCCAUUUAAAGUGGUACGCGAGCUGGGUUUAGAACGUCGUGAGACAGUUCGGUCCCUAUCUGCCGUGGGCGCUGGAGAACUGAGGGGGGCUGCUCCUAGUACGAGAGGACCGGAGUGGACGCAUCACUGGUGUUCGGGUUGUCAUGCCAAUGGCACUGCCCGGUAGCUAAAUGCGGAAGAGAUAAGUGCUGAAAGCAUCUAAGCACGAAACUUGCCCCGAGAUGAGUUCUCCCUGACUCCUUGAGAGUCCUGAAGGAACGUUGAAGACGACGACGUUGAUAGGCCGGGUGUGUAAGCGCAGCGAUGCGUUGAGCUAACCGGUACUAAUGAACCGUGAGGCUUAACCUUACAACGCCGAAGCUGUU
rnacentral:rRNA from 1 species